UACGGAGGGUGCAAGCGUUAUCCGGAUUCACUGGGUUUAAAGGGUGCGUAGGCGGGUAGGUAAGUCAGUGGUGAAAUCUUCGAGCUUAACUCGGAAACUGCCAUUGAUACUAUUUAUCUUGAAUAUUGUGGAGGUAAGCGGAAUAUGUCAUGUAGCGGUGAAAUGCUUAGAUAUGACAUAGAACACCUAUUGCGAAGGCAGCUUACUACGCAUAUAUUGACGCUGAGGCACGAAAGCGUGGGGAUCAAACAGG
rnacentral:rRNA from 1 species